rnacentral:rRNA from 1 species
AUACGGAGGGUGCAAGCGUUACUCGGAAUCACUGGGCGUAAAGCGCGCGUAGGCGGUUCGGUAAGUUGGAUGUGAAAGCCCAGGGCUCAACCUUGGAACUGCAUUCAAAACUGCCAGGCUAGAGUACGGUAGAGGGGGGUAGAAUUCCACGUGUAGCGGUGAAAUGCGUAGAGAUGUGGAGGAAUACCAGUGGCGAAGGCGGCCCCCUGGAUCGAUACUGACGCUGAGGUGCGAAAGCGUGGGGAGCAAACAGGAUUAGAAACCCCUGUAGUCC